GGCUAGUGUCCUCGCCACAGGCGCCGCUUUUUGUUGUCUGGGGCUGGGAGGCCGCCACCACAUUUGGGGGCGAAGCGGGGGGGCUGCGGCUAUCCUGAGCGCCGGUCAGCGCCUUCCGGCUCCCUGUGGUGCCAGGUCAUUGAGUUUUGACCAUUUGGGACUCCUGAACCUACGGACUGUGACCUCAGAGCAGCACACACACUUGCCCCAUGCACAGUGGGUGCACAUUCCCUCCACAUUCUCUUGACCGGGCAGCAGACUUGGUUAUUUCACGGCUGUUGAUAAGGACCCUAAGGAGAACCCAUAGUCUCUGUGCCGCUUCUCCGAGUCUCAUUCCUUUGAGACUCCUUCACGUGCCUCCAGGAUCCCCCUGCUUAAGACACUUGUCCAGAAAUCCAGCUUGGCUCAAAUCAAGAAGGCGCCAUUUACUCAUUGAGCACUUGUGGCUGAAAAGUCAGCUGCCCUUCUGAGUCAGAAGAUAACCUCGUCAUGCUUCUUCCAACAGCAAACUUUGCUGUGCUUCCCCAGCUGUGAGCAUGAUUCAUCAGGUGGCACCACCGCUGCAUGGCUGAGAGUCAGUCUAUUGUUCCACGCGGCCCAGUACAGGACUGGGGUCAGGCCCCAGAGAGCUGGCCGGCAGGGAUGGCUGAGAAGUCUCUCAGGAGCACAGAUUGCUGUUUACUCCUGGAUGAAGUGUUUUCAAGGCAGGUCAUCAAGAAGGGGCUUGUGGGCUCCAUGAAGGCCUUGCAGAAGCAGUACGUGUCCUGGGACAUGGUGGUGACGAGUAAGGAUGCCGACGCCAACACCGUGUACAGUGCCGUGGAGGCCAUGUUCAUCCAUGGUCUGCACACCAAGCACAUCCUCACCGAGGAGGGAGACAAAAGGAAGAAGCGUGCCCAAUGGAAGCCCUUGCCGCAGCCUGCCUUCUGGCCCCUCCUGAAAGCCGUCACCCAGAACUUCCAAGGGUGUUGUCAGAAUUCAGCAAAGCCCAGGAGGACUCUGUGCCAACCUGCCAACUAAACCAGGAGGCAGCAAGCCCUGUGCCGCCCGGCCUGCACUCAAGCACACGCCCGCACUCCACCACAUUAGUUCAGCCCUGCCUGCCCCGGCCUUCUCCUGCGCUCCUCCAGAUGGUGGCUCCCCAGACUUGCCACCACCGGGAACUGCCCCUGUUGUCUCUGCAGGGAGCACUCCAUGCCAGUAGCCUUCAAGUCUGGUGGGUGAACUGACCAGCACAGCCCGCCAGGGAGCCACCAGCCAGAGCUCCGGGAGGGUGGAGCCGGACUGAGAAUCGUGGUUCCCUCACCUGCAGCCCAGUGAGUAGUGCGAGCUGUGGGUGGGGUGGAAGGGCCCCAUGAAAUGUCUCAGCUAGUGACUCUGAGUGGUCCCUGCCUUUUCCCCAUUAGCCCUGGAUCCCCUCCCAGUGCUGGGAUUCAUUGCCUGGCAAUGAUGGAGCCCGGGCUUCUGGGUGUAAGUCAAGGAGAUGAGGCAGGCACAGUGCUGGACACUUCCUGUGGGUGUGUCUUGUCAACGCAUAUCAACCCUGGGGGGAAGCUAAUGCUCAUCUUAACACAGACUCCGCGCUGAGGCUCAUCUGUGCCAAAAUAGUUUCCAAAGGCAAGACACUUUGCUCACUGAGCCUUUAUUUUCCCUCAGCCCAUAUUAAAUUAACAGUUCAUAAAAUUCUCAUUCUGCGACAUGAAUCAGGUUUAGAACUACACACUCUCCAGGGACUGGAGCGAUAAUACAAUGGGGAGGGGGCUUGUCUUGUGACAUGGCCAACCCACGUUUGACCCCCGACAGCCCAUAUAGUCCCCAAGCACCACCAGGAGUGAUUCCUGAGUGCAGAGUCAGAAGUAAGCGCUGAGCAUUGCCAUGUAGGGUACAAAAGACAAAGGAACCACAUUGUCUAAUAAUCUACCAGUGAACACUUGAAAGACGGCUAGUCCUGGGCUGGGGAGAUAGCUCUGUGGUCAUGGGUUGCAUGCCUUGCGUGCACAGGGACUCAUUUUCACUUCCCGGUUCCUCAUGCUUCAUUCACCACAUGGCAUGAGUCCUAGCACUGGCCCGUCCAGCCCAGUUGACCGAGUAUCGCUGAAGUAGUCCAGUGUGUUGAUCAUCCAAGGGAAGCCAGCCAUAUGCAGCUCCUGGGAGAACCCUGCGUGGGCCCUUGUGAGCUUAGACCAGGGCUAAGUAGUCCCGCUGGGAGGCCACACCCUUGCUGCUUCACAUUUUUUCUCAGGAAACAGGUGAAGAUUCCCAGAGAAAAUUAUGGAUCUUUUAUAGUGACCCUUCUGUUUGAAAGAGAACUUGUGACUUUAUUAGCAGCAAACGAUGCAUAGAAAAUAAACUUUGUGAUUUUACUCAAUACCAAAUAGAUUAAUGUGUACUCUCUUAGGGUGUUUUUUGGCACAUUCCUCUGGUGCUCAGUUUCUACUCCUGGUGUGGUGCUCUGGGUACCAUGGGGUGCUGGGGACUAAACCUGGAGCUGCUGCAAGCAAAGUAAACACUACAGGUCUUUGAGCUAUCUCUCCAGCCCUUACUGAGGUUUUUUUUUUAAUAUAUUAAAUUUUUUAAAUUUAUUUUAUUGAAUCACCAAGUGGAAAGUUACAAAGUUCUCAGGCUUAUAUCUCCGUUAUACAAUGCUCAAACACCCAUCCCUUCACCAGUGCCCAUAUUCCACCACCAAUAAAAACAAAAACAAAACAAAAACAAAAGCAAAAACAAAAAAGAACAGUAUACAUCCCACCCCUCACCCCCCAAACCCCCCGUGCGUGAGUGAUAAUUUCACUUCCUUUUCUCUUUACCUUGAUUACAUUCCAGAUUUCAACACACAACUCACUAUUGUUGUUAGAGUUUCAAAACAGACUCACUAUUUUUUUGGAAUUUAUCCCCCAAGAAUACAGCUCUAUUAACAAGGAAAUAUUUGAUAAUAAGAUUUCCACUGAUGAGAAUGAAGCAAUAAAAUGUCGGUUUACAAUUUCUGUAUUAUAGUAAUUAAGUCCGCGGAGAUUUAAGUUGGAAAAUGAAUCAUUUACCUUCCUGGACCAGCAUGUAGCAAAAGCUUAGUUCACAGUCUCCAUACAUGGGUGCAAGCACUUGCUGGAACCCCAAAUCCUAAAUUGUCUCUGGUUCCCGCUCGUUCCACAUCCACCGGCUGUGCAGAGGCAUGGGCACCCGGGCGAAACCGGGCCGGAGCCCAGCACCGGCCCCAGCGGGGACUCCCUUACUGAGGUUUUUUGUUUGAUUAUUUGUUUUCUUUGUUUUCUUUGGGCCAUACCCAACAGUGCUCGGAAGUUACUCCUGACUCUGUGCUCAGGGGACCAUAAUGGAUGCUGGGGAUCAAACUGAGGUCAGCCGCAUGCAAGGCAAGCCCCCUACCCAUUGUACUGUCUCUGCCCCCUGAUGUUUUUUUUUUUUUGUAACCAAGAAAUCUGAAGCUUCCAAUUAGAGCCUCUCAUUAGCACCACAACCAGGUUGGCAACUUUGAAAUCUAGAAUGUGAGUAAACACAAAUUUUAAUAGCUUCGUGUAAUCUGCACACACUUUGUGACUCAGUAAAUGUGUUACCUCAGGCUGUGUAUCAUAUGUGCCCACAAACCAAAAUGGGUACAAGGCUUAAUAUAUGAAAGAAAAUUAUGUGGCCCCUUGAUAUUCUGAGGGAAAUAAUGCCACCUCUCAAAAUGGGCACGGACAAGUGCCCAGGUCACUAGCCCCCAAGGAAGAAUGUAGCAGUGUGUUAGUCGAAGGGACAGAUGUUCCGUGGUUGUUGAUUUGACUUGAGCAUUGGUGGAAAAGGUCCGGUGUGAGGUCAGCUCCAGGUGGCUGGGCCAGGGAAAGGGAAGGCAGCUGCCCAGUGAUGCUCAGGGGUUACUCCAGCUCUGUGCUCAGAAGGGUACAAGGCAAACGCCCUACUGCUGUGUUCUCACUUCAGCUCCACUUCUUAGAUUUGUAAUUCUUUGACAUGUUUAUUUUGUGUGUGUGCAUAUGUGAUCCGAGGGGUUGAACCUAGGACCUCACACUUAGAAGCCUGUGCUCUGCCACUGAACCAUAACCCUUCCCCCUGGCCCCAACUACUACCACUUUCUUUUUAUUUUUUUAUUAUUAUUAUUAUUAUUUGCUUUUUGGGUCAUACCUGGUGAUGCACAGGAGUUCCUCCUGGCUCUGCACUCAGGAAUUACUCCUGGUGGUGCUCAGGGGACCAUAGGGGAUGCUGGGAAUCGAACCCGGGUCGUCCGCGUGCAAGGCAAACGCCCUACCCGCUGUGCUAUUGCUCCAGCCCCUACCACUUUCACGUAACACACUCAUGCCCUUCAUUUUAAGAACAGCUUUAUUGGGCCCCAAUUCACCAAUUAAAGUGUAGAUUUUAAUUUUUAAAUAGACUCAUAAGAUUGUGUAGCCAUUACCAGAGUUUAAUUUACUUUGGUCCUGUGGCCACACCCACCAUCACUCAGGCUGCUCCAGGAUGUGUAUUUGGCAGCACUUGGGGGCUCAGAGCUGCCAGGAAUACUGCCUGGGCCUCCUGUGUGAAAAGCCAGCUCCGUAGCCUGCUGAGCUGUCUCUUGAACCCCACAGUUUCACUUUAAAACCUUGUCAUCCGGGAAAUAACCAGCCUCUUCGGUUUUUUUCCCUUUGUCAGACAGCAUGGCGAUUACUAAACAGGCGUGAACUCGGUGGCGCGGGGCAAGGGGGAAAAAGAAAAGUUAUGUAACAAACAGCAGGACUUAAUAUCUCUAUAUUCUUAGUAAUGGAGAACUAUCAAAUGCCUUAUUGGCAAUAGGACUGUCUUUUUCUUUUUGGGGGGAAACCCCAGCAACGAUAGUGAGUUGUGUGUUGAAACAUGGAAUGUAAUCGAGAUAAGCGCAAAUGAAGUGAAACUUAUCACGUACAAGGGUGGGGACUAGGGAGGUGGGAGGGGGCGGCAGAUAUACUGGGGGGGUUGGUGAUGGAAGAUGGGCACUGGUGAAGGGAAGGGUGUUUGAAUAUUGUAUAACUGACAUAAUCCUGAGAACUUUGUAACCCUCCACUUGGUGAUUCAAUAAAAAAAAAAAAAAUCAAAAAAAAAAAAUAAAUAAAACCUUGUCAUCCCCCCGCUGAAGGAAACACCUUCAAUUACCAGUCUCUCUCCAGUCCUCUCUCUGCCCUUGGCCUCUGGCCUUCCUUCAGCCACUUUGCUAGUAGUCAGGCCUGUUCUGGAGGGUCCCUUAAUAGUGGAUGAACCACACAACUUGCCCUGCUGUCACCCCAUGACAGGCUCAGCCUUGGAGCAGCAUCAUUCCCUUUUGUUGUUGACUGACAUUCCUUUGUAGGUGGCAUUGUACGGCAGGUUACAUUUUGUUUAUCACUGGCUGAUGGACUUUUCUCUUCCACUUUUGCUAUUAUAUUUGUGUCUGUAUGUUUUUAUUUCUCCUCAGUGCAUAUAAAGUGGAAUAUGGGGGGAAUCCAGUUUAUUUCUUUUGUAUUUAUUUAUUUACUUAACACUCUGUUUUUAUUUCUAUUUUCAUUUUUAUAUUGAAACAGAAAAUGUGGGUUGUUUUCCACUUAAUACUUUCAAAUGACUUCUCACUACCUAUAUAAUGUUCAAACUCCUUAACAAGCUCCUAAAUAAUCUGCUCCAAUAUCCCCCUGUAGUCACAGUCUACUCAUUCC